UUCAGGGGUAAACCUGAGAAACCCGAAAGGUCGAAAGGGGAGAUUCAGCGUGUCUCGAUCGUGGCGCUGGAUGGUCGUGCGACGGACGGCGUACGCGUCGUCCGCGCCUUUCGUCCUCCGAACUGCGGUCGAACGCGUGCACUUCUCCCCCUGUAGGACGUCGCGAUUCGUUGGGUGUCGGCCUAAGGCCCGAGGUGGAGUUCGUCCGGACGUUUCGGCGUUCGUGACGAACCCUCGGUGUUUCCCGGUCGGCUCGCUCGACGAUAUACAGAUGGCGCGGGGCCGCUACUCAGUUAGCGUUCGACCUUCGGCAAGCGCGCUCUUCGCGACGGUGAUCGGACCUAGUGCCGGUCCCGUCCUUGGGCGACUGUUGGCCGAGGUGUUCUCGAACAGACCUCGUUGAAACGCCGAUCUGCGACGCUAUAGCUUUGGGUACUUUCAGGACCCGUCUU
rnacentral:rRNA from 1 species